UUUACUUAAAGUUUGGACCUUGAGUUUUUCUGCGAUACAAAAAAGGGCAGCAAGAGGCUUUACGGCGAUUAGGCGAGGAAGUUAUAAAAGCUUCCGUAAUACUUUUUUUGUGUCUUUCAGAGCAUGAACAUUGUUGGCCAUAGGCCGAUAGUGACAAGGACUCCCAUGAUAGUCCCGAAGUAGCAGCCAAAAAGAAUGAGUUUCAGAGAGAUAAAGUAGAGCGAACGAGGAACACAGAGAAAGAUGGGGGAGAGUUCCGGUUACAAGGAGUACGUGGCAGGCUUGGUCGCCGGUGUCGCCACUGUCAUCAUCGGCCACCCCUUCGACACAGUCAAGCUUCUUUUUAGAUAAACAAUGCAACCGUAAAUGGUUAUUGAUGAAAUUAGGUGAAGCUGCAAAAGCACAAUACUGAAGCACAUGGGAUUACAUACAGGAGUGGUUUACAUUGCACAUCUAGGAUUUUGAAGACCGAAGGAAUUAGAGGACUUUAUAGAGGGGCAACAUCAUCUUUUGUUGGGGUGGCUUUUGAGAGUUCACUUCUUUUUGGCAUUUACUCCCAAACAAAGCAGUCACUGCAGGGAGGUGUACAAGGUGGUGGCCCACAACUCCAAGUGAUAAUUCCUUCUGCGGCUUACGGUGGAGCUCUUAUCAGUUUUGUAUUAUGUCCAUCAGAGCUGCUGAAGUGUAGGAUGCAAGUUCAAGGCACUGACUCUAUGGUUCCAAAGUCAAGUAGAUAUGGUAGUCCCCUUGAUUGUGCCCUCAAAACCAUAAAAACUGAAGGGGUUACAGGGAUCUUUCGCGGAGGUUGUACAACAUUGCUAAGAGAAUCUGCUGGCAAUGCAGUCUUUUUUAGUGUUUAUGAGUAUGUCCGGUAUUACAUGCAUUCACGACUAAAAGCUGCUUCAUCUUACCAUAGCCACUUGAUUGACAUGGGAAUUGGGAUUGUGAGUGGUGGCCUUGGUGGUGUAGCUUUUUGGUCUGCUGUUUUGCCCUUGGAUGUGGCAAAAACUAUAAUUCAAACUGCCCCAGAUAAAAGCUCUUCAAGGAAUCCUUUUCAAAUCUUGAGCUCAAUUUACAGGAGGGCUGGAUUUAAAGGAUGCUAUACAGGUUUGGGUCCUACCAUAGUUCGGGCAUUUCCCGCCAAUGCGGCUGCAAUCGUUACCUGGGAGCUAGCAAUAAAAAUUUUAGGCAUCAAGCAUGACUGAAGAGGUUAUUUUCAAUUACCACAUGCUUCAAUUUUUUUGUUCCCAUUCCCUAUAGCACAUCCACUGGUUGCUAUUUGGUAAGAUUUCACCCAGAAAAUUGUGGGCAUAGCCAGACCAUGGGAGUGUUGAUAUCUAAUAAAAAAACUUCACUGGAUAUUUUUCGAAACAAGGCUCCACCAUCUUAUUUUGUAGUCCUUUAUUUAGUGGCUGGACUGAAAGGGGCGAUGUGUUUUGAGUUAUUACAAUUCUUGUUUGACGGGCCUUUUGCUUCAUUUUUAGUUUAUCCGUUAAGGAUGGAUUGAAAGAUUUACUUUGUAGUCUAUAAGUCUAGUUGAAGAUGCUGGUCAUGAUGUUCAGUUUGAGUUAGAUUAGCUUGGUCUCACUGGAGAUUUUUCAAGACUGAUUGUAACGGUUCCUAAUUAUUGGCAUUUUUUCGAGUGCUGGACUUUGGACAAGCUUGUGCUCAGGAAAUAUAGAAAUU